AGUGGGGAAUAUUGGGCAAUGGGCGCAAGCCUGACCCAGCAACGCCGCGUGAGGGAAGAAGGUCUUCGGAUUGUAAACCUCUGUCCUUGGGGACGAAAAAAAUGACGGUACCCAAGGAGGAAGCUCCGGCUAACUACGUGCCAGCAGCCGCGGUAAUACGUAGGGAGCGAGCGUUGUCCGGAAUUACUGGGCGUAAAGGGUGCGUAGGCGGCAUGGCAAGUCAGAUGUGAAAUUCCCAGGCUUAACUUGGGGGGUGCAUUUGAAACUGCUGUGCUUGAGUACAGGAGAGGAAAGCGGAAUUCCUAGUGUAGCGGUGAAAUGCGUAGAUAUUAGGAGGAACACCAGUGGCGAAGGCGGCUUUCUGGACUGUCACUGACGCUGAGGCACGAAAGCGUGGGGAGCAAACAGGAUUAGAUACCCUGGUAGUCCACGCCGUAAACGAUGGAUACUAGGUGUGGGGGAGAUACAACCUCCGAGCCGGAGCAAACGCAAUAAGUAUCCCGCCUGGGGAGUACGGUCGCAAGGCUG
rnacentral:rRNA from 1 species